UACGGAAUUCCUUGCGUAGGAGAAAAACAAUAACUUCCAGUUGAACAAGAGCUAAAAGAAGGGAAGAUGUGACGGCAGCUCCAUUGAACAAUUUCUCUAAGUACAGACAGGCACCGCUUUCCACCCUCUGGUCACGUUCCACCUCCCAUUCUCAGGAAUUCUCUGGUAGGUGCACCUUGUUCAGAUAAGAACUGCACAGCAUUUCUUCGUGGGCCCCUGCAAGCCAUCCUUUGCAAUGGCACAGCCUCUAAACUUGGAGUUUUGCGGCCGUGGGUGGACCCUAAAGCCAAUAAGAAGAGGAGAAGAUGCAGAGAGAUAGAGAGAAGACCACAUGGAGAUGGAGGCAGAGAUUGGAGUUAUGCUUCUACAAGCAAAGGAACGGCAGGAGCCACC
rnacentral:lncRNA from 1 species